rnacentral:rRNA from 1 species
GAGUGAACGCUGGCGGUAGGCCUAACACAUGCAAGUCGAACGGCAGCACAGUAAGAGCUUGCUCUUACGGGUGGCGAGUGGCGGACGGGUGAGGAAUACAUCGGAAUCUACUUUUUCGUGGGGGAUAACGUAGGGAAACUUACGCUAAUACCGCAUACGACCUACGGGUGAAAGCAGGGGAUCUUCGGACCUUGCGCGAUUGAAUGAGCCGAUGUCGGAUUAGCUAGUUGGCGGGGUAAAGGCCCACCAAGGCGACGAUCCGUAGCUGGUCUGAGAGGAUGAUCAGCCACACUGGAACUGAGACACGGUCCAGACUCCUACGGGAGGCGGCAGUGGGGAAUAUUGGACAAUGGGCGCAAGCCUGAUCCAGCCAUACCGCGUGGGUGAAGAAGGCCUUCGGGUUGUAAAGCCCUUUUGUUGGGAAAGAAAAGCAGCAGGUUAAUACCCCGCUGUUCUGACGGUACCCAAAGAAUAGGCACCGGCUAACUUCG